rnacentral:rRNA from 1 species
CCUACGGGGGGCUGCAGUGGGGAAUCUUGGACAAUGGGGGAAACCCUGAUCCAGCCAUGCCGCGUGAGUGAUGAAGGCCCUAGGGUUGUAAAACUCUUUCGCGCACGACGCGGUAGUGCGAGAAGAAGCUCCGGCUAACUUCGUGCCAGCAGCCGCGGUAAUACGAAGGGGGCUAGCGUUGUUCGGAAUUACUGGGCGUAAAGCGCGCGCAGGCGGUCCUUCAAGUCAGAGGUGAAAGCCCAGGGCUCAACCCUGGAACUGCCUUUGAAACUAGAGGACUUGGGUACGGGAGAGGUGAGUGGAAUUCCGAGUGUAGAGGUGAAAUUCGUAGAUAUUCGGAAGAACACCAGUGGCGAAGGCGGCUCACUGGCCCGUCCGACGCUCAGGCGCGACAGCGUGGGGAGCAAACAGGAUUAGAUACCCUGGUAGUC